rnacentral:lncRNA from 12 species
GAGGGAGUAUAGGUAUAGGGUUUGCUUUGUGGGGGAUGAAAAUGUUAUGGAACCAGACAAAGGUAGUGGUUGCAUAACACUGUGAAUGUAUUAAAUUGUCUAUUUUAUAUAAAUUUCAUCUCAAUAAGAAAAAGUUAAAGAUAAGCAAACACGAAAGAGAAUGUAGGCUUCAUUCUGGGGGAUCUGGGGAAAUUCUGCUGGACAUCUUUGCUGUCAUCCUGAGUUGUCUUAUGAAGCUGCCUGCGUAUGUGUAGGUGUCUAUCAGAGCUGUCACUCUGUGGAACUCCAGGGGACACCACUGACAUGAUGGUCCAUACACAUGGAGCAUAGUGGGCCUGUGUCCCCCCUGGAGUGUCGUGGGACUUCUGGCCAAAAGAGGGGGAUGGCAGAGGCUCCAGGCCAGACUCCUUCAUCCACAUCUCCUGAUUACAUAGUCAUGAUAUGAUUUACUUCCCUCUCUGCAGCUGCCAACCAAAAGGCCUGACCGCUGAUUAGCAGGAGCCAGUGGGUAGAAAGAGGGUUUGCUUCUCGGAGACUGAUGUCUCCAUCCUUGCCAUCCUGCCUGUCUCCCCACACAGUGGUCAUUGCUAACACUCUCGAGAUAUAGUGGCAAGGGAGGGGGGGAGGGGGGCUUGAUUUUGCACCGGGCGGUGCCUUUACCUUCUUGUUUAUAUUUCCCACUUGACCACAAACUCCUUGAGGCAGGGGCCAUGCCUGUUCUGGCAUGUUCUGCACCCAACACGGUGCCUGCGGCAUGGCAGCUGCGCCAUAAGCAAUGGCUACUGGAAGGAAUAGUGGGCUGGUCCAGAACAAAAGAAUGAGUUCGCUUCCACCCUAGCCACCUUGCGUGGAGCCAUUCAGUUCCUGGAGCAUCCAUGGAGAACCACUGUGAGCUCAGGCUGCUCCGGGGCUGCACACCUGCCUGCAGCGGUGUAGUCACUGUGUGGGCAGGCAUCGGGUCAAGCAGGCCACGACGAAGCCCUCUGCACCCAAGGCCUGACCAGG